ACUCUUGUUUGGGCAUACAUUACAAAAUUAAAACGAUACGGGAAAAGAUUAGCAGGGCCCCUGCGAAAGGAUGACACGCAAAAUGGAAAGGGUUCCACUUUUAAU